rnacentral:rRNA from 1 species
GCAUAUCAAUAAGCGGAGGAAAAGAAACUAACUAGGAUUCCCUUAGUAACGGCGAGUGAACCGGGAUGAGCUCAAAUUUGAAAUCUGGCGUCUUUCAGGCGUCCGAGUUGUAAUCUAUAGAGGCGUUUUCCGCGCCGGACCGCGUCCAAGUCUCUUGGAAUAGAGUAUCAAAGAGGGUGACAAUCCCGUACUUGACGCGACAACCGGUGCUCUGUGAUACGUUCUCAAUGAGUCGAGUUGUUUGGGAAUGCAGCUCUAAAUGGGUGGUAAAUUCCAUCUAAGGCUAAAUAUUGGCGAGAGACCGAUAGCGAACAAGUACCGUGAGGGAAAGAUGAAAAGCACUUUGGAAAGAGAGUUAAACAGCACGUGAAAUUGUUAAAAGGGAAACGAUUGAAGUCAGUCGUGUGGGAAGUAUUCAGCCGUCUCUGGCGGUGUAUUUGCUUCUCACGGGUCAACAUCAGUUUGAUCCGGUAGAAAAAGGCGGGAAGAAGGUGGCACCCUCGGGUGUGUUAUAGCUUCCUGUCAUAUGUGCCGGACCAGACUGAGGAACGCAGCUUGCAGCAAUGCCGGGGUUCGCCCACGUACAAGCUUAGGAUGUUGACAUAAUGGCUUUAAACGACCCGUCUU